rnacentral:rRNA from 1 species
AUGGUGUCGUCGUGUCUUGCCCUCGUCGUCCUCCUUGCUCUGCCCUUCCUUGCCCUCGCCGGCGACCCGGACAUCCUCACAGACUUCAUCCUGCCGCCCGGCAACAAUGUGUCGCUCCUCAACGGCACCUUCUUCACCUACACAGGCCUCUUCGCUAUCGACUCCGCCAACCCAGCCAAGUUCACGGUGACAAAGGCCACCGCCACCGAGUUCCCGGCGCUGCUCGGCCAGUCCGUCUCCUACGCCGCCCUCAGCUUCGGCCCCGGCACCGUCAACCCGCCGCACGUCCACCCAAGGGCGUCAGAGCUGCUUUACGUGGUGGAGGGUCCGCUGCUGGUGGGCCUCAUCGACGAGACGAAAGGUGAGCUGUACGCGCAGACGCUGCAGACGGGUGACAUGUUCGUGUUCCCCAAGGGCAUGGUGCACUUCCAGUUCAAUAGUGGCGACCAUGUGGCGCGUGCCUUCUCGGCCUUCGGCAGCUCCAGCCCCGGCACCGUCUCGCUCCCGACUGUCCUCUUCGAGUCCGGCAUCCCUGACACCGUCCUCGAGAAGUCGCUUCACGUUGACCAGGCCACCGUGGAUGUGCUCGAGCAGGACCUGGCGCCACUCGCUCCCGCUCCCGCUCCCUCUCCAGAUACACCGCCAACACCUAAGAAUGGUGGUGCAGCACCCGCACCGGCGUGCUUCGCGCUGCUAGCUUGCUUCGCCGCUGCAUUGUUGUUGUGA